GCCCUGGCACACAGCUGGUGGACCUCCCAUCGGCAUCUCAGGCCGCCGAGCCCUUUCUGACCCCUGCCUCUACCGACCUUGAGACCCGUGGCCCCAGUGCGGGCGAGCCGUUUAGGAGUCCUUGUGAGUCGCUGAUGCGUUCAACUUUUCUUUACACUUCCCAAGCUCUGUCACCGGCCACUGCCCCAUCUCACCCACUGUGGUCCCUGUCAGCCUCGGGCUCUCAUCUCUCAUCAUCUUUCAGGCUCUUCCUUUUUUUCCUCCUCCACCUUUUAGGCCUGAGGAAAUCCGGCGAAGGAAUACAGAAGAGGAAGGAACCGCCUGCUUUGUACUGAAGGAAAAGAAAGGAGCGCAGCGCUCAAGCUUCCAUCUGCUGGAGAAAGUGCGUUCACCCAUCCCUGGGGGGGCCUUGCAAGAGGACUGCGCACCAGCACGGCUUUCUGCCAGGCCCCGGGGCUGUGCUUUCAUGCUCCAGCAGCAACCCCCUUCUAGCUUAUGCAAGUAGACUUCCGAUACCUGAAGCAUCACAACAGCUUCUGCGUGGUUCUGAUAAUUAAAGAGGUAAAUAUUUCCAUUAAAAGUACACUGUUACUAUUAAUAGGUAUUUUUAAAUUUUGUAAAAUCACUGUCAACUCACCAUUGGAUGAAAGUCCUCACUGGAAGUAUGAAUUCAGAUCACCUUUCCAACAGUUGAUAAUAUACUCUUCAGAGCCAUGGAAGAGAGAAGCCGCUAUAUUUACCACUCCAGAGGGGGAAAGGAUUUCUUUUCAGUGUCCACAAUCUUUGUUAUGAAGCCCAGGCCUUGGGACUUCAGGCUGGAUUGAACAUAGCAGUUUGUUUCUAAAGGCCCCAUCUUCGUUAUGUGUAGUCAGUGAGGGCUGAUUCUGAAAGUUGGUUUUUCCAACAUGCCCCAGUGACUGCAGAUCUCGCUGGGGAGUAGCUCAUUUAUAAUAUGGUCCUAUCAUUCUGUGGGAAGAGCAUCUUUUUUUUUUUUUUUUUUUCAAAGAACAAAAUAUUCUAAAGUGAACCAAGAAUGGCACAAUUAUUGUCUGGGUUACAUAGGAGAAUUCUAGUCCACGAGGUUUAAUACUUUCAGGGUGAGUUAGACAUGCAGUAAGGCCCAUGAUGGUUAUUACCUCUUUUCACAUUGCUAAUGCAGGAUGGGGAUGGAUUAAUGGCACAGUCUCUGAGUUUUCUGAGUUGUAGUUACUAUUAUCAUAGACUCUUAUAACACCUCCUGGAAGGUGAGCUUCACAAGGGUAGGGAGUUUUAGACAGCACGUUCACUGCUGCAUCCUCAGUACUUAGAAUAGUCCCUCGCACAUAGUAGGAACCUGUAUAUGAUUGUGAUUAUCAGUUUGUUUUUUGUUUUUUAGUAGGCUCAUGGACCCCAAUGCAGGGCUUGAACUCAAGACCCUGAGAUCAAGACUCAGACACUUAACCAACUGAGACCCCAGGCACCCCGUCAUUAUUAAUUUUUAUUCAGCAGAUACAUAUUUGCUCAGAACUUUGCACUUUCUUUUCUUCUCUCUCCUUCCCUGGCAUGAUUUCCCUGACCCUCAUCAUUCAGGUCUCAGCUCAAAAACUAUUUAGUAGGGACGCCUGGGUGGCUCAGUCGUUAAGCGUCUGCCUUCGGCUCAGGGCGUGAUCCCAGAGUCCCAGGAUAGAGCCCCGCAUCAGGCUCCCUCCUUAGCGGGAAGCCUGCUUCUCCCUCUCCCACUCCCCCUGCUUGUGUUCCCUCUCUUGCUGCCUCUCUCUCUCUGUCAAAUAAAUAAAUAAAAUCUUAAAAAA
ensembl:lncRNA